rnacentral:rRNA from 1 species
UCCUACGGGAGGCAGCAGUAAGGAAUAUUCCACAAUGAGCGAAAGCUUGAUGGAGCGACACAGAGUGCAGGAUGAAGUCUUUAGGGAUGUAAACUGCUGUUGUAAGGGAAGAAAAAACUAGAUAGGAAAUGAUUUAGUCUUGACGGUACCUUAUUAGAAAGUGACGGCAAACUAUGUGCCAGCAGCCGCGGUAAUACAUAGGUCGCAAGCGUUAUCCGGAAUUAUUGGGCGUAAAGCGUCCGCAGGUUUUUUGUUAAGUUUAAGGUUAAAUGCUAAAGCUCAACUUUAGUUCGCUUUAGAUACUGACAAAAUAGAAUUAUGAAGAGGUUAGCGGAAUUCCUAGUGGAGCGGUGGAAUGCGUAGAUAUUAGGAAGAACACCAAUAGGCGAAGGCAGCUAACUGGUCAUACAUUGACACUAAUGGACGAAAGCGUGGGGAGCAAACAGGAUUAGAUACCCUGGUAGUCC